rnacentral:rRNA from 1 species
GAGUGGCGAACGGGUGAGUAACACGUGGGUAACCUGCCCAUCAGAAGGGGAUAACACUUGGAAACAGGUGCUAAUACCGUAUAACAAUCAAAACCGCAUGGUUUUGAUUUGAAAGGCGCUUUCGGGUGUCGCUGAUGGAUGGACCCGCGGUGCAUUAGCUAGUUGGUGAGGUAACGGCUCACCAAGGCCACGAUGCAUAGCCGACCUGAGAGGGUGAUCGGCCACAUUGGGACUGAGACACGGCCCAAACUCCUACGGGAGGCAGCAGUAGGGAAUCUUCGGCAAUGGACGAAAGUCUGACCGAGCAACGCCGCGUGAGUGAAGAAGGUUUUCGGAUCGUAAAACUCUGUUGUUAGAGAAGAACAAGGAUGAGAGUAACUGUUCAUCCCUUGACGGUAUCUAACCAGAAAGCCACGGCUAACUACGUGCCAGCAGCCGCGGUAAUACGUAGGUGGCAAGCGUUGUCCGGAUUUAUUGGGCGUAAAGCGAGCGCAGGCGGUUUCUUAAGUCUGAUGUGAAAGCCCCCGGCUCAACCGGGGAGGGUCAUUGGAAACUGGGAGACUUGAGUGCAGAAGAGGAGAGUGGAAUUCCAUGUGUAGCGGUGAAAUGCGUAGAUAUAUGGAGGAACACCAGUGGCGAAGGCGGCUCUCUGGUCUGUAACUGACGCUGAGGCUCGAAAGCGUGGGGAGCAAACAGGAUUAGAUACCCUGGUAGUCCACGCCGUAAACGAUGAGUGCUAAGUGUUGGAGGGUUUCCGCCCUUCAGUGCUGCAGCUAACGCAUUAAGCACUCCGCCUGGGGAGUACGACCGCAAGGUUGAAACUCAAAGGAAUUGACGGGGGCCCGCACAAGCGGUGGAGCAUGUGGUUUAAUUCGAAGCAACGCGAAGAACCUUACCAGGUCUUGACAUCCUUUGA